rnacentral:rRNA from 1 species
GACGGAGGAUGCAAGUGUUAUCCGGAAUCACUGGGCGUAAAGCGUCUGUAGGUGGUCAAAUAAGUCAACUGUUAAAUCUUGAGGCUUAACCUCAAAAUCGCAGUCGAAACUAUUAGACUAGAGUAUAGUAGGGGUAAAGGGAAUUUCCAGUGUAGCGGUGAAAUGCGUAGAGAUCGGGAGGAACACCAGAGGCGAAGGCGGCGACCUGGACAAGUACUGACACUCAACUACGAAAGCGUGGGUAGCAAACAGG